rnacentral:rRNA from 1 species
UACAGAGGGUGCAAGCGUUAAUCGGAUUUACUGGGCGUAAAGCGUGUGUAGGUGGCUCGCUAAGUCGGUUGUGAAAUCCCUGGGCUCAACCUGGGAAUUGCAUUCGAUACUGCCUUGCUCGAGGACUCGAGAGGAGAUUGGAAUUCACGGUGUAGCAGUGAAAUGCGUAGAUAUCGUGAGGAAGACCAGUGGCGAAGGCGGAUCUCUGGAGAGUUCCUGACGCUGAGGCACGAAGGCCAGGGGAGCAAACGGG